rnacentral:ncRNA from 2 species
AGCUUACGCCCACUCUCAGGCGCCUCAUUGUCCUAUCGAGGUUAAACGGGAAGUCGGUGGUCCUCUUCGCAGUCGAAGAGGCGCAUUCCGACGCUGCCCCCGCAACGGUGAUCGAGUGCAGGUCCAUCAUCACGCCACUGUGCUUUGCAUGGGAAGGCGAUGGACCCGGAGCGUGUAGUCGGCGCUUCACUCGUCAGCCCGGAGACCGGCCUGAGGGCGGGAAACAUC